rnacentral:rRNA from 1 species
CAAUAGCGUAUAUUAAAGUUGUUGCGGUUAAAAAGCUCGUAGUUGGAUUUCUGCCGAGGACGACCGGUCCGCCCUCUGGGUGAGCAUCUGGCUCGACCUGGGCAUCUUCUUGGAGAACGUGGCUGCACUUGAUUGUGUGGUGCGGUAUCCAGGACUUUUACUUUGAGGAAAUAAGAGUGUUCCAAGCAGGCAGUUGCCGUGAAUAUGAUAGCAUGGAAUAAUAGUACAGGACUCUUGGUUCAAUGCUGUUGGUUUGUUGAGCUAGAGUAAUCAAAAUAAGGAUAGUUGGGGGUAGUUCGUAUUUAACUGUCAGAGGUGAAAUUCUUGGAUUUUUUAAAGUACGAACAAUUGCGAAGGCAUCUACCCAGGAUGUUUUUGUUGAUCAAGAACGAAAGUUAGGGGAUCGAAGACGAUUAGAUACCAU